UUUUACGCAAAACACCUCAGACGGACUCUCGACGGCCUAUUAAGUGGAUCGAUUUUCUUUGGUGGGGCCGAGGGAUCCAUUUUCCAAGUCAAAUGGACGAAUGACAAAAAUUAUAGGUUUUAGGCGAAACUUCUCGAGUGGUCUUCCGACGGCCUAUUAAAUGGAUUGAGUUGCUAUGGUGCGAUCUAGAGAGACGUCAGGGGCUCGAUCCAUGAGGUAAGCCAACACCCAGUAUGAAAGAAAUACAUGACUUAAAAAUUAUAACGUAAAGUCAUUAGGUGAUGCCCAAAGGUACUAUUAUGUAAAAAAUUACAGCUGCCCAUAACUACCAAGGUCGUGAUUCUUCGCCUUCCAGCUAUACCAAUUGGAAACAUUUAGCCAGGUGUGAUCAUCUGCGGUGGCAGAUUCAAUGAUAUGGGCGACCCAAAGACAGAGGGUAUCGACUUGUUCUCAGAAACCGUUGCUUGGGGAUGGAUGCCGCCGAGGAGUUAUGAAAAACAAGCAACGGAACGAGUCAAAAUAGAGGGGUGGAGGAGAAAACAGAAGAGACAGACAGAUUUUUCUGAGGCACUUAUGUGGGUAUUCCAAUGAAAUGGAGCAUGGCGAAAGAAAGCUACUCCAAGGGUACAAUAACAAAGCAGUUAGACCACCCGUGAUCCUGUGGAUUUUCUUUCUUUCCUCAGUGAUUCAAUUUGAUCAACUCCCUUCACCUUCCGCAACAAGCUAGGUGGAUAAAGCAGUAGAAGAUGUGCUAGGGGAAAGCUGACGCCUGACAUACGGGAGAGAGUAUCAAAGGAGGCAAUGGUUUGCCAUACCUCUGGGUUUAGUUGACCUAGGGAUAAUUAGAAUGUAUUAAAGAAGGAGAAAAUCACCUAGUCGAUAGGAUCACCCAGACCAGUACUAAAUGAGUGUGUAGAAGAAGGAUAACAUGGGUGGUUGGAGAUGACGCUAUCAGUGGAUCCUGGGGUCCUUACUCGAACCUCGAUUUCAGGCAAAACACAGUCCUUGAUAACAUUGGGAGCAAUAUUAUUUCUGAUGAGGGAGUCCAACUUGUAAACUGACACAAGGGAUUCAUCGCUCGCCUGUUCGGUAAUAUCUUUUGGAAAUUUAAAAUUGACAGGCACUAUAUCGUUAACAUGAGUCUGGUGGAUUUUUUAUUCUUAACCUUAGGCGAGCCAGAUCUAGGAGAUGAAUUUUUUUUCCUUUUGCAUGAGUAAAAGGGGGCAAAGAGAAAGGAACGAACAUAUUGUUCGUCCAUUUAAAGACAGCAAGUUGGGGGAUUUUGAUCAUAAAAUUUCUUCCGAAUUUAAGAGAACGCAGGUGACGGUGAGGAUCGCGUUGGCUAGAGGAUUUGAGUGACAUAUUCCUGGUGAACCCCGCAAUUGUUUGCGUGGGCUAUAGUUUAUUUAUUCGUUAUGAUUCUUUUUCUUGAAAAACUCUUAGUUGCUCCAUAGUCAUGUCUUUAGAGUUUUGAAUCUUUCGUUGUUUUGGAUGUGUAGAAUAUUGGAUUUCCUCUCAUAUUUUGGAGAUGGAUUUUAUGUUGUCAUUUGGUGGUAUUAGUGACUUGUUAAUCAUUUGUGGUGGAUUGUGUUGAUGUUGUUGAAGUGUUGAUUGUGGUGCUGUUGAUUUGAGAAAGGGAAAUUUUCUUGUUAGGCUCCAAAACAGGGGAAAUUCUGCCUGAUUUUCUGUAGAAUUUUGACGAGGCUUGCUUUGGAGUCCUAAACUCCUUAGCGCCGGUCAUGAUCCUAUUUUGGGUCGUGACAAUAAAAAAGAAGUCAGUCACCAACAGGCACA